GAUGAACGCUGGCGGCGUGCCUAAUACAUGCAAGUCGGGCGAACGGACGAGAAGCUUGCUUUUCUGAUGUUAGCGGCGGACGGGUGAGUAACACGCGGAUAACCUACCUAUAAGACUGGGAUAACUUCGGGAAACCGGAGCUAAUACCGGAUAAUAUUUUGAACCGCAUGGUUCAAAAGUGAAAGACGGUCUUGCUGUCACUUAUAGAUGGAUCCGCGCUGCAUUAGCUAGUUGGUAAGGUAACGGCUUACCAAGGCAACGAUGCAUAGCCGACCUGAGAGGGUGAUCGGCCACACUGGAACGGAGACACGGUCCAGACUCCUACGGGAGGCAGCAGUAGGGAAUCUUCCGCAAUGGGCGAAAGCCUGACGGAGCAACGCCGCGUGAGUGAUGAAGGUCUUCGGAUCGUAAAACUCUGUUAUUAGGGAAGAACAUAUGUGUAAGUAACUGUGCACAGCUUGACGGUACCUAAUCAGAAAGCCACGGCUAACUACGUG
rnacentral:rRNA from 1 species